rnacentral:rRNA from 1 species
UGCUAGUCGCACGGGUUUAGACCCGUGGCGUAUAGCUCAGUAACACGUGGCCGAACUACCCUAUAGACCAUGAUAACCUCGGGAAACUGAGGCUAAUCGUGGAUAUUGCAUUCACGCUUGAAUGCCGAAUGCGAGAAACGCUCAGGCGCUAUAGGAUGUGGCUGCGGCCGAUUAGGUAGACGGUGGGGUAACGGCCCACCGUGCCAGUAAUCGGUACGGGUGGUGACAGCCAGAACCCGGAGACGGUAUCUGAGACAAGAUACCGGGCCCUACGGGGCGCAGCAGGCGCGAAACCUUUACACUGCACGACAGUGCGAUAGGGGGACUCCGAGUGCGAGGGCAUAUAGCCCUCGCUUUUCUCGACCGUAAGGUGGUCGAAGAAUAAGGACUGGGCAAGACCGGUGCCAGCCGCCGCGGUAAUACCGGCAGUCCGAGUGAUGGCCGCUGUUAUUGGGCCUAAAGCGUCCGUAGCUUGCCGUGCAAGUCUAUCGGGAAAUCGACGUGCUCAACGCGUCGGCUUCCGGUGGAAACUGCUCGGCUUGGGGCCGGAAGACUCAGCGGGUACGUCUGGGGUAGGAGUGAAAUCCUGUAAUCCUAGACGGACCACCAAUGGCGAAAGCACGCUG